GGGAUUAGCUAGUAGGUGGGGUAACGGCUCACCUAGGCGACGAUCCCUAGCUGGUCUGAGAGGAUGACCAGCCACACUGGAACUGAGACACGGUCCAGACUCCUACGGGAGGCAGCAGUGGGGAAUAUUGCACAAUGGGCGCAAGCCUGAUGCAGCCAUGCCGCGUGUAUGAAGAAGGCCUUCGGGUUGUAAAGUACUUUCAGCGGGGAGGAAGGCGAUAAGGUUAAUAACCUUGUCGAUUGACGUACCCGCAGA
rnacentral:rRNA from 1 species